AGGCGCGCAGCCGCUGCACCGUGGCGCGCACGAGCGCGGCCGGCCGGCGCCCCCAGCGCGCCCACAGGAGAGCUGGGAGGCAGAUUGAAGAAGGGGCUGUGGAUAUGUGUACAUUAACCAGUACCAUACUGGGAUUCAGCUACCAUACACAGCCUCUACCCAGUCCAGUUGGGAAAAUAAGGUGAGGCUGGUUUAUUAGAUUUUUCUAGGCCUUCUUGCAAAAAUGAUUACAUUAAUUCAUAAAAACGAUUAUAUAUACAUCUGGACUCCAAAUAAAGGCUGAAAAGUUGAAGGCAGACCCGCACGAAAAAGGCUGCCUGCUGUUCUUGUACAUGUAGGUCACCAAUUUGUGAGCAUCCGAAGACCAGAAGAAAAAGGGAAACUUAACAAUUAUGAGUCAGUGUCCUUGCCCCCUAAGAGAAGCAUAAUUAUUCCUGAGAAUGACAAAGAUCUCUCCCAUGGAACGUCAUGUAAAAAGGCACUUUGCGGAGUGCCUGCGGAGCUCAGUGAAUUAAGUGUCCGACUCCUGAUUUUGGCUCAGGUCAUGAUCUCAGGGUCUUGGGAUUGAACCCUCUGUCUGGGUCUGCACUCAAUAGGGAGUCGGCUUGAGAUUCUCUUCUCUCCCUCCACCUCUGCCCCUCUCCCACAAGCUCAUUGCACAUGCUCUCUCUCUAAAAUAAAUCUUAAAAAUAAAAGGCAGUUUGGGGGG